rnacentral:rRNA from 1 species
UCGGGAAUUUUGGGCAAUGGGCGAAAGCCUGACCCAGCAACGCCGCGUGAGGGAUGAAGUAUUUCGGUAUGUAAACCUCGAAAGAAUGGGAAGAAUAAAUGACGGUACCAUUUAUAAGCUCCGGCUAACUACGUGCCAGCAGCCGCGGUAACACGUAGGGAGCAAGCGUUGUUCGGAUUUACUGGGCGUAAAGGGCGCGUAGGCGGCGCGGUAAGUCACUUGUGAAAUCUCUGAGCUUAACUCAGAACGGCCAAGUGAUACUGCUGUGCUAGAGUGCGGAAGAGGCAACCGGAAUUCUUGGUGUAGCGGUGAAAUGCGUAGAUAUCAAGAGGAACACCUGAGGCGAAGGCGGGUUGCUGGGCUGACACUGACGCUGAUGCGCGAAAGCCAGGGGAGCAAACG